rnacentral:rRNA from 1 species
AGGGUUCGAUUAUGGCUCAGGAUGAACGCUAGCGGCAGGCCUAACACAUGCAAGUCGAGGGGUAACAUUGUAGCUUGCUACAGAUGACGACCGGCGCACGGGUGCGUAACGCGUAUACAAUCUACCUUUUACUGGGAGAUAGCCUUUGGAAACGAAGAUUAAUAUCCCAUAGUAUGUUUACUUCGCAUGGAGUAGAUAUUAAAGAUUACGGUAAAAGAUGAGUAUGCGUCCUAUUAGCUAGAUGGUAAGGUAACGGCUUACCAUGGCAACGAUAGGUAGGGGCCCUGAGAGGGGGAUCCCCCACACUGGUACUGAGACACGGACCAGACUCCUACGGGAGGCAGCAGUGAGGAAUAUUGGACAAUGGAGGCAACUCUGAUCCAGCCAUGCCGCGUGCAGGAAGACUGCCCUAUGGGUUGUAAACUGCUUUUAUAUAGGAAGAAACGUCCCGACGUGUCGGGAUUUGACGGUACUAUAAGAAUAAGGACCGGCUAACUCCGUGCCAGCAGCCGCGGUAAUACGGAGGGUCCGAGCGUUAUCCGGAAUCAUUGGGUUUAAAGGGUCCGUAGGCGGGCUUCUAAGUCAGUGGUGAAAUCUUACGGCUCAACCGUAAAAUUGCCAUUGAUACUGGAGGUCUUGAAUUAGUGUGAAGUGGUUAGAAUGUGUAGUGUAGCGGUGAAAUGCAUAGAUAUUACACAGAAUACCAAUUGCGAAGGCAGAUCACUAACACUAUAUUGACGCUGAGGGACGAAAGCGUGGGGAGCGAACAGGAUUAGAUACCCUGGUAGUCCACGCCGUAAACGAUGGAUACUAGCUGUUCGAUCUUCGGAUUGAGUGGCUAAGCGAAAGUGAUAAGUAUCCCACCUGGGGAGUACGUUCGCAAGAAUGAAACUCAAAGGAAUUGACGGGGGCCCGCACAAGCGGUGGAGCAUGUGGUUUAAUUCGAUGAUACGCGAGGAACCUUACCAGGGCUUAAAUGUAGCUGGACAGAUUUAGAAAUAGAUCCUCCUCGGACAAUAUACAAGGUGCUGCAUGGUUGUCGUCAGCUCGUGCCGUGAGGUGUCGGGUUAAGUCCCAUAACGAGCGCAACCCCUAUUGUUAGUUGCUAACAGGUAAUGCUGAGGACUCUAGCGAGACUGCCGGUGCAAACCGUGAGGAAGGUGGGGAUGACGUCAAAUCAUCACGGCCCUUACGUCCUGGGCUACACACGUGCUACAAUGGCAGGUACAGAGGGCAGCUACCGGGCGACCGGAUGCUAAUCUUCAAAGCCUGUCUCAGUUCGGAUUGGAGUCUGCAACUCGACUCCAUGAAGCUGGAAUCGCUAGUAAUCGCAUAUCAGCCAUGAUGCGGUGAAUACGUUCCCGGGCCUUGUACACACCUCCCGUCAAGCCAUGGAAGCUGGGAGUGCCUGAAGUCGGUGACCGCAAGGAGCUGCCUAAGGUAAAACUGGUAACUAGGGCUAAGUCGUAACAAGGUAGCCG